GGAAUAUUGGGCAAUGGGCGAGAGCCUGACCCAGCCAUGCCGCGUGCAGGAAGACGGCCUAUUGGGUUGUAAACUGCUUUUAUCGGGGAAGAAAAUGCCCAUGCGUGGGAAAUUGCCGGUCCCAGAACGAUAAGCACCGGCUAACUCCGUGCCAGCAGCCGCGGUAAUACGGAGGGUGCAAGCGUUGUCCGGAUUUAUUGGGUUUAAAGGGUGCGUAGGCGGCUGAUUAAGUCAGCGGUGAAAGACUUCGGCUUAACCGGAGCAGUGCCGUUGAUACUGGUCAGCUUGAGUGCUGCAGGGGUACAUGGAAUUGAUGGUGUAGCGGUGAAAUGCAUAGAUACCAUCAGGAACACCGAUAGCGAAGGCAUUGUACUGGGCAGCAACUGACGCUGAUGCACGAAAGCAUGGGUAGCG
rnacentral:rRNA from 1 species